rnacentral:tRNA from 1 species
GUGUGGAGUGGCACUCUCGCAAUGAGAAGGUCAGGGGUUCGAAUCCCCUCAGCUCCACCA